rnacentral:rRNA from 1 species
AGAAUCAACGCUGGCGGCGUGCCUAACACAUGCAAGUCGAACGAGAAAGUGGAGCAAUCCAUGAGUAAAGUGGCGCACGGGUGAGUAACACGUGACUAACCUACCCUUGAGUGGGGGAUAACCUAGGGAACCUGGGCUAAUACCGCAUAAUACCGAGAGGUCAAAGGAGCAAUUCGCUUAAGGAGGGGGUCGCGGCCGAUUAGUUAGUUGGCGGGGUAAUGGCCCACCAAGACUAUGAUCGGUA